UGAGGAAUGAUUUUAACUCUCGGUCUUGAACGAUGUUAAGAUCUCCUGUUAUAACAGAUCCAUACACUUGAACACAAGUUAUUGUCUGGAAACUAGAAUAAAAUGCUCCGCAGGGCGCAGCUUGAUACGACCGCAGAGGUCGAAACCCUGAACAGUUGGGGCAAGUAUGGACACAACAUUCAAGCUUGAUACAGCUCUGAAUUUGGAUUGUGAUUAAAUAUUUGACACAGCAUAGGUUUCUGACACAGAAUGAAUGUGGUCUAAGAACUUAAAAAUUUUAAAUUGGACAUUCACCUAUUAUGGUCCAAUAUCCAAAAUCUAAAUACAUGGUUAGAUUCAGCAUAUCAAAGAACCCCAAGAAUUCAAUUUUGAUGAAAUCAAACAAAGUUUAAUUUUGGACCCUUUUGACCUCAAUGUGGACAAAGUUGAUAACGGGGCCCAAAAAUCAAAAAUCUAAAUACAUGGUUAGAUUCAGCAUAUCAAAGAACCCCAUAUAUUCAAUUUUUGUUGAAAUCAAACAAAGUUUAAUUUUGGACCCCGAUUUGGACCAACUUGAAAACUGGGCCCAUAAUCAAAAAUCUAAAUACAUGUUUGGAUUCAGCAUAUCAAAGAACCCUAAGAAUUCAAUUUUUAUUAAAAUCAAACUUAGUUUAAUUUUGGACCCUUUGGACCUGAAUGUAGACCAAUUUGAAAACGGAACCAAAAAUUAAGAAUCUAAAUACACGAUUAGAUUUGGCAUAUCAAAGAACCCCAAUAAUUCAAUUUUUGAUAAAAUUAAACAAAGUUUAAUUUUGGACCCUUUGGACCUCAAUGUGGACCAAUUUAAAAACAGGGCCCAAAAUCCAAAAACUUAAUACACGGUUAGAUUCAGCAUAUUAAAGAACCCCAAGAAUUCAAGAAUAAAACCCCAUUGAAAUUGGUCAAGAAAUAAGCAAUUUAUAUGAAGUAUCUUCUUUUGCACAAUACUGUGCAAUUGAAUAUUUCUUGCUAUUGCGCAAUACUGCACAAUUGACAAUUUCUUGCUAUUGCGCAAUAUUGUGCUAUUGGAUAUUUCUUGCUAUUGCGCAAUACUGUGCAAUUGAAGAUUUCUUGCUAUUGCGCAAUACUGUGCAAUUGAAGAUUUCUUGCUAUUGUGCAAUACUGUGCAAUUGAAAAUUUCUUGCUAUUGCAGAAUACUAAUUAUAUAUAAAUUUACACAUCCUGUUUGGUGUGUAUCUCCUACCAUAUCAUGUUUAUUUGCUUUUAAAUAUUAAUCAGAAAUAACCAACUUAAAAUGGAAAAUUUUAAAAGAAAAAAAAAAGGAAAAAAAGAAAAAAAAGGAAAAAAAACCAAAAAUCCCCCCCCCCAAAUUUUUUGAACCCCCUUAUGAUUCAUCACCCCCAACUCCAAUCCCAGCCUUCCCUUUGCGGUAUGGUACCUUGCAGUACAAUUUCAGAGAGAUCAAUACACUUGAACACAAGUUGUUGUCUGGAAACUAGAAAAAUGUGUUUUUUGGCCCCUUUUUGGCCCCCAAUUCCUAAACGUUUCGGGCAAUUACCCCCAAACUCAAUUCCAGCUUUCCCUUUGUGAUAUGGAACCUUGUAGUACAAUUUCAGAAAUAUCCAAACACUUACACACAAGUUAUUGUCAUGAAACUAGAAAAAUGCUUGUUUUUUGCCCCUUUUUUUGCCCCUAAUUCCUAAAAUUUUGAGGCAAUUACCACCAAAAUCAAUCCCAGCAUUCCCUGUGUGAUAUGGAACCUUGUAGUACAAUUUCAGAGAGAUCCAUACACUUAAACACAAGUUAUUGUCUGGAAACUAGAAAAAUGCUUAUUUUUGGCCCCUUUUUGGCCCCUUAUUCCUAAACAUUUCGGGCAAUUACCCCCAAACUCAAUUCCAACUUUCCUUUUGUGAUAUGGAACCUUGUAGUACAAUUUCAGAAAGAUCCAUACACUUUCACACAAGUUAUUGUCAUGAAACUAGAAAAAUGCUUGUUUUUUGCCCCUUUUUUUGCCCCUAAUUCCUAAUAUUUUGAGGCAAUUACCCCCAAAAUCAAUCCCAGCAUUUCCUUUGUGAUAUGGAACCUUGUGGUACAAUGUCAGAGAGAUCCAUACACUAACACACAAGUUAUAUCUGGAAGUUACAAAAAUG